AAUCUUGUAGACGGAAACUGUA
rnacentral:snRNA from 1 species